ACGUGAGUAACCUGCCCCAGACUCUGGAAUAACCCCGGGAAACCGGAGCUAAUACCGGAUACGAGACGGAGAGGCAUCUCUACCGUCUGGAAAGUUUUUCGGUCUGGGAUGGACUCGCGGCCUAUCAGCUUGUUGGUGAGGUAACGGCUCACCAAGGCGACGACGGGUAGCCGGCCUGAGAGGGCGACCGGCCACACUGGGACUGAGACACGGCCCAGACUCCUACGGGAGGCAGCAGUGGGGAAUAUUGCACAAUGGGCGAAAGCCUGAUGCAGCGACGCCGCGUGAGGGAUGACGGCC
rnacentral:rRNA from 1 species